CUCGGGGAAAAAUUCGAAUACAUAAGCUUGCACAAGGAUGAAUAGGAGGACAUCGUCCUAGAGAAAGAUCUCGAUGAACUAGAGAAGUAUACGUAAUUUAUGGGACUAGCCAGGAUUCAUACCUCACGCGCCUUCAGCCAUGGUGCUUUCCUUGGUGACAUGUGGUAUGCGUGGAAUCUUGCACAAGAGGUGGAAGUUAGGGCAAUCGAAGACAAUCUCUUCUCACUACAACUGAAUUGCUUGGCAUACUGA
rnacentral:rRNA from 1 species